rnacentral:rRNA from 1 species
GCAAAUUUACACCGUAACUUCGGGAGAAGGUGUGCCGCUGGCGGUCAGUAACUUCGUGUUACGAAGCUGUCGGUGGUCGCAGUGAAAUGGCGGUUGUGACUGUUUACUAAAAACACAGGACUCUGCGAAGUCGUAAGACGACGUAUAGGGUCUGAUGCCUGCCCGGUGCUGGAAGGUUAAGGGGAUAUGUCAGCGCAAGCGAAGCAUUGAACCGAAGCCCCAGUAAACGGCGGCCGUAACUAUAACGGUCCUAAGGUAGCGAAAUUCCUUGUCGGGUAAGUUCCGACCUGCACGAGGGCAUAACAACAUCCGCACUGUCUCGACCAGGGACUCAGCGAAAUUACAUUGGGGGUGAAGAUGCCCUCUACCCGCGGAAAGACGGAAAGACCCCAUGAACCUUUACUGCAACUUGGCAGUGAUUUUCGGGUUGUUCUGCGUAGGAUAGGUGGGAGGCUUUGAAGCCGGGCUUCCGGGUUCGGCAGAGCCAACGUUGAAAUACCACCCUGAAUAAUCUGGAAAUCUAACCUGCGCCCAUGAUCUGGGCGAGGGACACUGCCUGGUGGGCAGUUUGACUGGGGCGGUCGCCUCCUAAAUUGUAACGGAGGCGUGCGACGGUUCCCUCAGGCUGAUUGGAAACCAGCCGUAGAGUGCAAACGCAUAAGGGAGCUUUACUGCGAGACCGACAAGUCGAACAGUUGCGAAAGCAGGUGUUAGUGAUCCGGUGGUACCACAUGGAAGGGCCAUCGCUCAUCGGAUAAAAGGUACUCUGGGGAUAACAGGCUGAUCGCGCCUGAGAGUUCACAUCGGCGGCGCGGUUUGGCACCUCGAUGUCGGCUCAUCGCAUCCUGGGGCUGGAGCGGGUCCCAAGGGUUUGGCUGUUCGCCAAUUAAAGCGGUACGCGAGCUGGGUUUAAAACGUCGUGAGACAGUUUGGUCCCUAUCUUCCGUGGGCGCAGGACACUUGAGAGGAGCUAUCCAUAGUACGAGAGGACCUGGAUGGACGAACCUCUGGUGCUCCGGUUGUCACGCCAGUGGCAUAGCCGGGUAGCCAUGUUCGGAACAGAUAACCGCUGAAGGCAUAUAAGCGGGAAGCUGGCCUCAAGACUAGGUGUCCCUGACGCAAGUCACUAAAGGCCCCUCGAAGACUACGAGGUUGAUAGGCUCGGUGUGGAAGCGCUGCGAGGCGCGGAGCUAACGAGUACUAAUAGGCCGUGCGACUUGACCU